GACAGUAGUUCAGUGGUAGAGCAUCUGCUUUGCAUGCAGAAGGUCCCAGGUUCAAGCCCCACCAGCGUCU